rnacentral:rRNA from 1 species
CGCUCUAGCUAUACCACCCAGUACACACCUGAUUUUGUCUGAUCUCGAAAGCUAAGCAGGGUCAGGUUUGGUUAAUACUUGGAUGGGAUAACUAUAGUAAAUCAAAAAAAUAUUUUGA